GUGUUUAACGAUUCUUACCGGCAAUAGCAUUUGGCUCGUCUGCUCGUAAUCAUCUUCAAAAACAGACAAUGGCUGGAUAUUUGUAAACAUUUAUCCGUAAACCUGAUUUUGCAUAAAACGUAUAGCAUUUUUCAUCACAAUACUGCCGCAGAUUGAGGCUACGGCAGGGGGAGGGGUGAUCGGGAACAUAGGGGGCUGGGCGCGAUGCCCUGAGUGUACCCGGGAGAAAGAGAGAGCCGCCGAUCUGCGGGGAAAUGUUAACGGGACGCGUCCGGAGACUGUAAAUAAGCAACCAGAUGCGACUCACCGCAAUGUUUUUUUAAUUUUCAAAAAUCAUUUCCCCCUACGGUCACUCACUUGUCAGCCCCACUGUCCAGCUACUAGAUGACUGCGCACCCAGUCAGUGAUCGCAGGAUGGAGCCCGCGGUACUUAUUUUCUUGCUCUAUGUGAUGAUAGCCCAUGAGCUGGUGUGUGGAUGGAUGGAUUAUCGGAAACAGGCAGCCAAGCCCCGGACACAUUCCCGGCAGAUGUGGAGCUCCAGCCCCCGUUCCUGUCAGCGGCCCUCCCGUGUCGCCUGCCAGCCCGUGAGGUCCGAAAGGGAGGCUGACUGGAGGAAGAGAGGCAGAAUCGUACGGAAGGCUUGAGAAGGGACAGACAGGCAGACGGAUGGACAUUUUGCCCACUACGAUGCAGCAGCUGGUGUGAUGACACAGUGUCCAGUACUAAGAUGCAGAAGCUUCCUUUUGUUACUCUUUCCCUUUGCUCUACUUUUUCUUAAGUUGUCAACUAUUAUUUUUCUUUCCCUGUCUUUCUCUCUCUAUCUGACUCCCCCUUUAUUUCUUCUUUCUUCUGUCUCUCUUCUCGUUCUCUCUUUUUCCCUCUCCUCUUUCUCUCCCUCCUCUCUUCCUCUCUUUAUCUCUCCUAUUUCAGUUAACUUUCCCUGUCGGCUCCGGCUUAAUAGCGCAAUAAUCGAAAACGGUGAAUAAAGAGUAUAUCUCAAGUAACAAGAGGAGCUUAAUCCAAAUCUCCACUUGGCAAAAUAAAAGUGUUGGCACAAUAAAGCACCCAGACUAACAUCCUGCUGCUAAACUGCCGGACACGACAGGGGGAAAUAAAAAAGAAUUAAUCAUUUAAAGUAACACUAACACUCUUUUGGGUGCAGUUCCUCUAAACGUAGUGAAAAAUAUAACUGAUCCAUAUGAUGGACUUGGCCUCAGUAAUAUGUGGAUUCAUAA